GGACGGGUGAGUAACGCGUGGGUAACCUACCCCAAAGUCCGGGAUAGCAGCGGGAAACCGCUGCUAAUACCGGAUGCCUUUACCUUGGGGCAUCUUGAGGUAAAGAAAGGUAACGCUUUGGGAUGGGCCCGCGUCCCAUUAGCUAGUUGGUGAGGUAACGGCUCACCAAGGCGACGAUGGGUAGCCGGCCUGAGAGGGUGGACGGCCACACUGGGACUGAGACACGGCCCAGACUCCUACGGGAGGCAGCAGUAGGGAAUAUUGCGCAAUGGACGGAAGUCUGACGCAGCGACGUCGCGUGAGCGAUGAAGGUCUUCGGAUCGUAAAGCUCUGUCCUUGGGGAAGAAGGCGAAAGCUUGACGGUACCCAAGGAGAAAGCCCCGGCUAACUACGUGCCAGCAGCCGCGGUAAUACGUAGGGGGCGAGCGUUGUCCGGAAUUACUGGGCGUAAAG
rnacentral:rRNA from 1 species